AGGGCUCUUCAAAGGACUAAAAGCUAAAGGCGACAAUGAAUUCAUUCGACAAGUCCUAGUCGUGAGCCCUGGUGAGUGCCAGACCCUGCUCCCCCCGAGGGGACCCACGAGCGACCCUCACCACCAUCCCUGCCCUGGUGGAGCCCCCGUGCGGAACACAGGAUCCGAAGAUGGCAGCGGAAGCUCCUCCGCGGCCCCGAGAGCGACUGGGCAGGGUGGGCACAGGCUCUUCAAUGGGUGAAGGCGGCGCAAAGAACGGGAAGAACCAUCCCAGGAGCCCACAGGGCGUUCAGCUUCCCUUGGGGCCCCAGGCGGCUCGGGCUGGGUCGCCGACCCGGGAGUUCCUGGAAGCUUCUGAAGCAGGCGAGGGGCAGGGCGGGCGAAGGCAAUUCCGCUGUUCUGGCUCCAGAAUCUCCUAACGCGCAGGCGUCCAACGUGACCGGCGCGACUCACCGCUCUAAUCUCUCUGGUUUUCCAAGGCCUUGCUCGGUGGUCCUGCCGGGCGGGC
rnacentral:lncRNA from 1 species